GCGGGAUUAGUUGAGCGGCUCAAUACCACCUUCCCAAGGUGGGGAGAGGGGUUCGACUCCCCUAUCCCGCUCCA
rnacentral:tRNA from 1 species